GAUGAACGCUGGCGGCGUGCCUAAUACAUGCAAGUCGAGCGAACGGACGAGAGGCUUGCUUCUCUGAUGUUAGCGGCGGACGGGUGAGUAACACGUGGAUAACCUACCUAUAAGACUGGGAUAACUUCGGGAAACCAGAGCUAAUACCGGAUAAUAUUUUGAACCGCAUGGUUCAAAAGUGAAAGACGGUCUUGCUGUCACUUAUAGAUGGAUCCGCGCUGCAUUAGCUAGUUGGUAAGGUAACGGCUUACCAAGGCAACGAUGCAUAGCCGACCUGAGAGGGUGAUCGGCCACACUGGAACUGAGACACGGUCCAGACUCCUACGGGAGGCAGCAGUAGGGAAUCUUCCGCAAUGGGCGAAAGCCUGACGGAGCAACGCCGCGUGAGUGAUGAAGGUCUUCGGAUCGUAAAACUCCGUUAUUAGGGAAGAACAUAUGUGUAAGUAACUGUGCACAUCUUGACGGUACCUAAUCAGAAAGCCACGGCUAACUACGUG
rnacentral:rRNA from 1 species